rnacentral:rRNA from 1 species
UUGAGCGGUAAGGUUCUGCACUUAGUAUUUGACCAAGUAAGUCUUUUUUCGGAAAGAUACUGCUUGAGCGUUAAUCCCUGGCUAGGGGUUAAAGUCGAAUGUUGAGUGUAGAAUACACGAGCGGCGGACGGCAGAGUAACGCGUAGGAACGUACCCCAAACAGAGGCAUAAGCACCGGAAACGGUGUCUAAUACCGCAUAAUAUCUUCGGAUUAAAGCUUCGGCGGUUUGGGAGCGGCCUGCGUAUGAUUAGCUAGUUGGUGAGGUAAUGGCUCACCAAGGCGACGAUCAUUAGCUGGUCUGAGAGGAUGAUCAGCCUGACUGGAACUGAGAACGGUCCAGACUCCUACGGGAGGCAGCAGUAGGGAAUUUU